GCCAAGAGGGCCAGAUUGCUGGAGACAGGCAGGCGCGGAACUGACCCGAGUGCCGGGUGACCUUACGUGGGUGCCGCACACAUUGAAGAUAAAGAAACGGGGGGCGGGGGGCAUAGCUCUGUGGGAGCAGCUUGCCUAGCUCGUGCAAGCCUGGGGUUGAUACCCAGCGCCACAAAACCAAAGGAAACCAAGACAGAGGCGGAGGCCGGGAGGAAGAGGGUGAGCCAGGUGCUGCGUCCUCAGUGAGUGCGGGGAUCAUGACCCAGACCACCCAGCCUCCUCAGUGCUGGGAUUACCGGCAUGGGCCACUGUGCUCCCUAUUUAAGGGGAUGAAGAAGUGAAAGUUGCAACUGGAAAUUAUUUUUUUCGAGAAGCUUGGUGAGUAAGGCACAGUAAGCCUGGAACAUCCCAUGGAGAACCCACCACAUCCAUGGCCCACCGUCCCCGGCCCCAUCUCCUGUCUGAGUAUGCAGCUUCCCUUCUAGAUCAUAAACCCCACAGGCCAGGGUCUCGGCUGCUGCCUGGGCAGGGCUCUCAGCAGCGUCUGGUGUGGCCUCUGGUGUCUGGAUGCUGUACGAUGCACACAUGCAGGGUGGGGCCUUGGGAUUAGCUCAGCUAGGGGGCAGCUAGCCCCGGGAGGGCCAAGUUCUCCCCACCCCCUGGCCCGCAGGCAGGAACGACUAUGGGCACCUGGCGUCUUUCCCCUGCAGUCACCCUGUCCUUGACCAACCUCUUCCAACCUCUUCACCGGGGUCUGCUAAACUUCUUUGCCUUCCUGGCAAUUCUGGGAUAGAUAGAUUUCUAGGUGUCCCUGUAAAUCUCUCCAAUCCCUUAAAUCCAGUCUAGCACAGAGUGGAAAAGGGGGCUCUAGGGAAAGAAAACCCCACUGAGAAUGGUACCCGAGGUCUUCCCGGAUACCGGGUACCUGGGGACCCAGAUUCCUGUGUCCCCCUGCGGGUCAGGAAUUCGUCUUCUCCCAUUUUUGUCUCUGUUGGCUUUCUUUUUUCCCCUGGAAGUGGACGUGAAGAGAAGUGAAAAGGGGAAACAGAAAGGCAGGGUCUUCGUGGGCCCACAGUCUUUGGAAAUGCAGUGAUAAAUCCACUAAGGCUCUUUAAUGUCCUCUUUCGGAGGUUCACACACCACACAGACCGGAACAAGGCGGGGACGGAGGGUUAGCGGGCCCGGGAGGUGCUCAUCCUGGCUUCCCUCUGCCAGGCGGUGGGAGGGCUAUUUACAGAGUAGGGGCCGCCUUUCUUAUCUCAGGUCCUAAAGCAGAGACCUUCCAAGUUUCCUUCCAAAAA